rnacentral:rRNA from 1 species
AAUUCAUGGGUCGGUAUGACGCUGUCCGCAGCUGGAGUAUUUUAUUACCCUUGUCUUUUGCGCACUUGUUGUUUCCUGGGCGGGUUCGCUCGCCACCAGGACCACCAAAUAAACCUUUUUUAUGCAGUUGCAAUCAGCGUCAGUACAAACAAUGUAAAUCAUUUACAACUUUCAACAACGGAUCUCUUGGUUCUGGCAUCGAUGAAGAACGCAGCGAAAUGCGAUACGUAGUGUGAAUUGCAGAAUUCAGUGAAUCAUCGAAUCUUUGAACGCACAUUGCGCCCUUUGGUAUUCCAAAGGGCAUGCCUGUUCGAGCGUCAUUUGUACCCUCAAGCUUUGCUUGGUGUUGGGCGUUUUUGUCUUUGGUCGCCCAAAGACUCGCCUUAAAGUGAUUGGCAGCCGGCCUUUCUGGUUUCGCAGCGCAGCACAUUUUUGCGCUUGCCAUCAGCAAAACGGCAAUCCAUCAAGCCUCCUUCUCACGUUUGACCUCGGAUCAGGUAGGGAUACCCGCUGAACUUAAGCAUAUCAAGGCGGGGGAAGAAAAAAA